rnacentral:lncRNA from 1 species
CUCGUUGACGCCGGGAAAUCAGUGACUGUUGCUGUUGUCAUUGUCAUUCUUGCUGCUGCCAGCCUUUGCAUGGGCACCUGAAAGAAGCCCUGGGGAAAACUGUUUCUCAGAAAGUGAACAGAAUCUCCCCUGGACCUCCGUCGUCUCAUUGAUGAGACAAAUCCUGAUCCAGGAAAACUUCCGCCUUUUUCUGAUGGCGAAUUUCAUCCAAGCCUUCCAUUGACCUUUCUUCAGUAACUUCAUGGUGAUCUUCGCAGAUAAUCUUGUUCCUGAGGGUGUUCUUCCUUCUUCCAUAAGGAGCAUUGAAGACAGGGCAGGCUGUAUAUGCCCACAGUUAUGUGAUGAUUCUUCGUGUAUCUUCCUACAAGGAUUAAAGAUUUGACUCUUACCUGGCUGAGGAAAUUAAAAACCUGAUUGUAUCAGUAGUUUGAAAAAAUGACACGCAUUUAUUAAGAAAUCCAAAGAUUCAUAGCCUCAGACAUUAUACAAGAUUCAGUAGAAACAUAAUGGAUACAAGAGAUGAAAGGAAAAAGAGGAAGGAGAGGCCAAUGAGGGCUGAACGAUGUGAUAAUUAAACAUUUUAUCUUUUGAAUUUUGUCCCCCUGAGCUUUCUCAUUUAAGCCUCAGCAGAGCUGUGGAAGAAAAUAAAUGGCUUCCUGUGAGCAUGUGGUUUUGCUUUACCUGGGUGUUUAAGAUUCCUGUGACUGUUACAAGGAAGAAGAGUGGCUUGAUCAAGAAUUUGUGAAGCCAGAUUUCAAAACGCUUGGCUGAACGACUGAGUCCUGGAAUUCCAGAGCAUUGUUAAAAUUCCAUGGUCAUGACCACUACUGUAGAGAGCAUGUCCUCCUCCAAAAAAUGUAUCGGCCUGCUGUUUAUUGCACCAUUUGGAGAUUUGAUAAAUCAAAUUGUUCCCCUUAACCUAAAUAUAUCCUCCAAAAAUAUGGCUUAAGCUAGGGCCAGCCCGGUGGUGUAGCAGUUAAGUUCACGUGCUUCAUUCUGACGGCCUCCGGUUUCCUGGUUCAGAUCCCAGGUGCAGACCUAGCACCGCUUAUCAAGCCAUGCUGGAGCAGGCGUCCCACAUAUAAAGUCGAGGAAGAUGGG